AUCAGCUCAAAUGUUUUGUUUCUGGUUUAAUUGCGUAUUUUGUGGUGAAAUUGAAUUUGGAGUUCUUUAUUUGUGAUUGAUGUUCAAUCUAAUGCACGUUGGAGAAGUUGUUCAUGAGGUUAAAUUGGAACUAUUUGCGUAUUUAUUUGUGUAGGAAGGAACUGCAGAUGCUGGAUUACACCAUUUUAUACAAAAAAUGCUGGAGUAACUCAGCGGGCCAUGCAGCAUCACUGGAGAGAAGGAAUGGGUGGUGUUUCGGGUCGAGACCUUCAGACCUUUUUGAGUAAUGAAUUGUCUAAUUAUCUCACACUUUUAACGAAGCAAACUAUCUUAAAGUGGGGUAAUUAUUCAUGAAAAACUGAUGCCAAACCACAUAUAUUUGGACAAUUUAUCAAAGUUCGUCAAGGAAUUGAUUGAACAACAUCAACCUGUUGGCAAUAUCUCAGAUGGACAUGCAAGAGAAGAUGGACAGACUUAUGGAGAUCACCCCAAAUCCCUGGUCUAUCUUUGAUGCUGUUUGAUCUCCUGAGCAUGGCCAGCAGUCUUUAUUAGUAAGCCUGACACCGCUCCAAUGAUCUUCAAUGCAGUGAAACAGCUAUAUGUGUAGUAGAGAACAGCAGAAGGGCGACAUGGUGGCGCAGCGGUAGAGUUGCUGCCUCACAGCGCCAAAAACCCAGGUUCUAUCCUGACUACGGAUGCAGUCUGUACCGAGUCUGUGCAUUCACUCUGUGAACGUGUGGAUUUUCUUUGGGAGCUCUAGUUUCCUCCCACACUUCCAAAGAUGUAUAGAUUUGUAGAUUAAUUAUGGCUUUGGUAAAAUUAUUAAUUGUCCCUAGUGUGUAGGAUGGGGAUUGCUGGUUGGCAUGGGCUUGGUAGAUCGAAACGCUUGUUUCCGCACUGUAUCUCUAAUGUCUAUGUAAAGUAAAGCAGAAAUUGAACAAAUGGCAAAUCCCUGCUGCCCACCUCCGCCACAAUGUCUUUGGACAGAUUUCUUGUGUGUAUUUUGCGGAGACAUAAAACCACGUUGGUGAAUCUCAGGGAGUUGAGACCAAUCGCACCAUGGUAUUCUCCUUAAUUCUACUAGGGAGGGAGAAAAAGCCCUUUGUCAGAGGGAGCUUUGGAGAAGGGCCGACAUAAUUUGUCAGUUCCAAAGCCAGCACCACCACCAUCCUUGCCGCAAUUAACAGAAGCUGGUCUAUUCUGAGGCACCCUUCAACAUCCUGCCUUUCGACAGUGACCUGGAUAUGUCUGGAAAAUAAGAAUAUAAAAGCAGAUUAAAAUCUCUGUAUUUGUUUAAUGUAUAUUUAUUAUGACAGGAAACGUUGUAUAUUUGACCUUUUAUGGAUCUUCGCCUACACAUGAUAUUCCUGGAGCUCCCUGUAUUCACAAAGUGCCAUUUGCUCUUAAUUUAUGUCUCUCUUUCAUGAUGUGCAAUAGACUUAUAAAAGUCCAUCAUUUAUUUUACCUUUCAACAGACAGGCAGACCUUUGCUCAGAGAAAACUGUUAUGAAAGGAUCUCUCUCCUUAUUAUUCCUAAUAAUAGCAAUAACAAUUAAUAAAUCACUGGGCGCAAGACUGCAAGAAAUUUUAGAGAGUUGUUGAUGUAGGCCAGUCCAUCACAUAGGCCAAACUUCCCACUAUUGAUUCCUUCUACACUGCACGCUACCUCAAUAAAGUAGCCAACCAAAUCAAAGACUUGCCUCAUCCCUUAGACUCCAACUACACUUCACGCUACCUUGAAAAAGCAGCGAACAUAAUCAAAGACAUGUCCCACUCCGGUCAUUCCUUCUUCUCCCUGCUCCAGUGCAUCAGAAGAUACAGAAGCUUGAAAGCAUGCACCACCAGACUCGGGAACAGCUUCUUCCCCUCUGUUAUCAGACUUCUAAGCAGUCCUUCCCUCAGCUAAGAUGAUUCACCGCUAGCCCAUUGUUGACUUUGAACUGUGUCUAAGGAAAUGAUGUGCUGCAAUGCUGACAACUAUAUUCUGCACUCUGUAUCUUCCCCUUUACUCUAGUUAUUUUACAUGAUACCAUGGGUUAAAGAACAUGGAUAGGUGAUGCUUCGGGUCGGGACUCUUUCAGACUGAGGAACGUUCUGCAGGGAUGCUCUCUGGCCUGCUGGGAUACUCCAGCACCUUGUGUCUUUUUUUUAUUAACUUGAGACCAACCAGGACAAAACAGUUUACUAUUAGCAAUUGUAGACACAAGGAUGCUGGUUUACAAAAAAAGACACAAAGUGCUGGAGUAAUUCAGCAGGACAGGACAGAUAGAGCAUGUUCUCCAGAGAUGCUGCUUGGCCUACUGAGUUACUCCAACACUGUGUCCUUUUUCACGAUUAGCAGUUCAUCUGUCAUCCUGGACGUUCAUUCCUUCCUUCAUUACUGUACGAUGGAUGCAAUGUAAUUUUAAUUUUACACGUCCCACUUCUCCACAAACACACAACGUGUAGGAAGGAACUGCAAUUGCUGGUUUAAACAAAAGAUAGACACAAAAAGCUGGAGUAACUCAGCUCUUCAGGCAGCAACUCUGGAGAGAAGGAAUGGGCGAUGUUUCGGGAAGAAGGGUCUCGACCUGAAACAUCACCCAUUCCUUCUCUCCAGAGAUGCUUCCUGCCCCGCUGAGUUACUCCAGCAUUUUGUGUUUAUCUUUGCCACAAACACAUAACCUGUCUAUCCCUGAAGGGCAAGAAUAGAGGUUGCAUGGAAAGAUCAUAACAUACAAUUCUUCUCCAGGUCACACACCACAUCAACUUAGAAACAUAUUGCCGUUCCUUUACUGGGUUCAAGUUCUGUAACUCCCUGCCCAACAUCAUUGUGGGAGAAUCUGCCAAAAGGACACCAGCGGUCAAGAAGUGUCCCGACCCAGAAACGUUGCCUACACAUGACUUUCAAAUAAUGCUGCCUGAUCUGCUGAGUUACUCCAGCACUUUGUGUUCUAUAUAACUGAGAUUGCAAGAUAGCCGGAAAUCCUUCACAAUAGUUUGAGUUAGGUCCACAAGUUAACCAGCUUGUGCCUUUUGAUGGAAUCUCUGUGAGGCCAAGCUAGCCCCACAAGAUGAAUCAGAUUCUUCAGCCCACCAUGGAUUUCAUUGCUUAGAGUAACUUUUAAAUGCUUUUCCACUCUUCCUUAAGGCUGUUGGUGUUAAAAUCCGAUAUUUAUUUUUGCAGUCUCUGGGCCAAACCAUUCCGAGUUUAUGUCUUUUUCUUAAUUUACACUUUAUAUAAUCCAUUUUCUGGGUUCAUUAAAAAGGCUAGGGAUUGAAUAUUGUUCAAGAGCACUUACCUUGAUAGAUUCACCCACCCUGAGCAGCCCUCAAACCGACGAUAAUCCUUCGUUCUUCAGGCCGUAUGUACCCAUGAUGGCACUCUCUGCGUGCUGGUCCCAGAAGUAGAUCUGCGAUCAUUGAUUACAAUUGGUCCACUCUUUUAAACCUCUACUCCAGCAGCACCAUUUCUUACUCUCACUAUGCUACUAAACUUUAGACUUUAGAGAUAAAGUGCAGAAACAGGCCCUUCGCCCCACCGAGUCCACACCGAGUCCACUGACUAGCGAUCGCCCCAUACACUAGCACUACCCUACACACUAGUGUAUAUAAUUUUACCGAAGCCAAUCAAAUUACAAACCUGUACGCCUUUGGAGUGUGGGAGUAAACCAGAGCACCCGGAGAAAACCUAUGCAGUCACGGGGAGAACGUACAAACUCCGUACAGACAGCACCUGUAGUUGGGAUUGAACCCAGA